CUAUGAUUUUUUAGGUGAAAAGUCAUUGAUUUUAACUUAUUCAAGUAUAUAAUUUAAUGAAUCAUAAAGAAAAAGAGAACUAUAGCUUUCUUCACACUUAUAAACUAUAAUAAGAUUGACUUUUUAAACAUUACUUAAUUAUUUACCAGUUUUAAAGGACAAUUAUAAAUUUCAUAUUUGUAGUCGUCUUUAAUUCCUGUUAAAAAAAAAAACUUAACUCUAUAGAGUGUUCAAUAGUGUUUUUUGUCCUAUACUAUACCCACAUCAUCACAUGAUUAAUUUUAUCCUAUAGUAUCAACAUAGUUAUUUUUAUAAUUUUUUUAUUAUAUAUCUGGUACUUUCACUUAUAAAUAUAUUACAUCCCUUUUUCUAUCUAAUGUGGGAUUCAACAUUUGAAAAUCCAUCAAUGGGACACGCCAUCUGAACACUUUGGUCAGUAAGAUUUUCAAUACAAGGAAUCAGUUCAAUCAUCGGCUUUGAUACCCCUCAAACUUUUUUCAAAAACCUUAAACAAUAGAUUCAUAAGUUCUUUCACUUAAAAAAUAUUCAACAUCCAUUUUUCUAUUUAAUGUGAGACUUAACUCACACUUAUCAAAGACAAAUUACUACCAUGAAAAUAUUAAUAAAAAAGCUAUGGAAAUGCAAAGUUAAUUACUACAUAUAUACUACAAGUUAAUAUUAUCUAAAAUAUUAAUUAAUCCACAUACCUGAAUAUCAAAGAUGCUUAGCCAAGGCAAAAAAUCUGUCAAAUUAAAACUUCCAGCCAAGU
rnacentral:lncRNA from 1 species